UGCCUAAUACAUGCAAGUCGAGCGAACGGACGAGAAGCUUGCUUCUCUGAUGUUAGCGGCGGACGGGUGAGUAACACGUGGAUAACCUACCUAUAAGACUGGGAUAACUUCGGGAAACCGGAGCUAAUACCGGAUAAUAUUUUGAACCGCAUGGUUCAAAAGUGAAAGACGGUCUUGCUGUCACUUAUAGAUGGAUCCGCGCUGCAUUAGCUAGUUGGUAAGGUAACGGCUUACCAAGGCAACGAUGCAUAGCCGACCUGAGAGGGUGAUCGGCCACACUGGAACUGAGACACGGUCCAGACUCCUACGGGAGGCAGCAGUAGGGAAUCUUCCGCAAUGGGCGAAAGCCUGACGGAGCAACGCCGCGUGAGUGAUGAAGGUCUUCGGAUCGUAAAACUCUGUUAUUAGGGAAGAACAUAUGUGUAAGUAACUGUGCACAUCUUGACGGUACCUAAUCAGAAAGCCACGGCUAACUACGUGCCAGCAGCCGCGGUAAUACGUAGGUGGCAAGCGUUAUCCGGAAUUAUUGGGCGUAAAGCGCGCGUAGGCGGUUUUUUAAGUCUGAUGUGAAAGCCCACGGCUCAACCGUGGAGGGUCAUUGGAAACUGGAAAACUUGAGUGCAGAAGAGGAAAGUGGAGUUCCAUGUGUAGCGGUGAAAUGCGCAGAGAUAUGGAGGAACACCAGUGGCGAAGGCGACUUUCUGGUCUGUAACUGACGCUGAUGUGCGAAAGCGUGGGGAUCAAACAGGAUUAGAUACCCUGGUAGUCCACGCCAUAAACGAUAAGUGCUAAGUGUUAGGGGGUUUCCGCCCCUUAGUGCUGCAGCUAACGCAUUAAGCACUCCGCCUGGGGAGUACGACCGCAAGGUUGAAACUCAAAGGAAUUGACGGGGACCCGCACAAGCGGUGGAGCAUGUGGUUUAAUUCGAAGCAACGCGAAGAACCUUACCAACUCUUGACAUCCUUUGACAACUCUAGAGAUAGAGCCUUCCCCUUCGGGGGACAAAGUGACAGGUGGUGCAUGGUUGUCGUCAGCUCGUGUCGUGAGAUGUUGGGUUAAGUCCCGCAACGAGCGCAACCCUUAAGCUUAGUUGCCAUCAUUAAGUUGGGCACUCUAAGUUGACUGCCGGUGACAAACCGGAGGAAGGUGGGGAUGACGUCAAAUCAUCAUGCCCCUUAUGAUUUGGGCUACACACGUGCUACAAUGGACAAUACAAAGGGCAGCGAAACCGCGAGGUCAAGCAAAUCCCAUAAAGUUGUUCUCAGUUCGGAUUGUAGUCUGCAACUCGACUACAUGAAGCUGGAAUCGCUAGUAAUCGUAGAUCAGCAUGCUACGGUGAAUACGUUCCCGGGUCUUGUACACACCGCCCGUCACACCACGAGAGUUUGUAACACCCGAAGCCGGUGGAGUAACCUUUUAGGAGCUAGCCGUCGAAGGUGGGACAAAUGAUUGGGGUGAAGUC
rnacentral:rRNA from 1 species